GGCAUGAUGGCCGAGUGGUCUAAGGCGGUAGAUUUAAGUUCUUCACAUACUGAUUGGAACCAAAUCCUCUACUGGGGCAACCCGCGUGAGUUCGAACCUCACUCAUGUCA